GGGAAUCUACCGUGCCCUGCGGAAUAGCUCCGGGAAACUGGAAUUAAUACCGCAUACGCCCUACGGGGGAAAGAUUUAUCGGGGUAUGAUGAGCCCGCGUUGGAUUAGCUAGUUGGUGGGGUAAAGGCCUACCAAGGCGACGAUCCGUAGCUGGUCUGAGAGGAUGAUCAGCCACAUUGGGACUGAGACACGGCCCAAACUCCUACGGGAGGCAGCAGUGGGGAAUAUUGGACAAUGGGCGCAAGCCUGAUCCAGCCAUGCCGCGUGAGUGAUGAAGGCCUUAGGGUUGUAAAGCUCUUUCACCGGUGAAGAUAAUGACGGUAACCGGAGAAGAAGCCCCGGCUAACUUCGUGCCAGCAGCCGCGGUAAUACGAAGGGGGCUAGCGUUGUUCGGAAUUACUGGGCGUAAAGCGCACGUAGGCGGAUAUUUAAGUCAGGGGUGAAAUCCCAGAGCUCAACUCUGGAACUGCCUUUGAUACUGGGUAUCUUGAGUAUGGAAGAGGUAAGUGGAAUUGCGAGU
rnacentral:rRNA from 1 species